GGGUUGUGAGGUUAAGCGACUAAGCGUACACGGUGGAUGCCCUGGCAGUCAGAGGCGAUGAAGGACGUGCUAAUCUGCGAUAAGCGCCGGUAAGGUGAUAUGAACCGUUAUAACCGGCGAUUUCCGAAUGGGGAAACCCAGUGUGACUCGUCACACUAUCAUUAACUGAAUCCAUAGGUUAAUGAGGCGAACCGGGGGAACUGAAACAUCUAAGUACCCCGAGGAAAAGAAAUCAACCGAGAUUCCCCCAGUAGCGGCGAGCGAACGGGGAGGAGCCCAGAGCCUGAAUCAGCAUGUGUGUUAGUGGAAGCGUCUGGAAAGGCGCGCGAUACAGGGUGACAGCCCCGUACACAAAAGCGCAUGUGCUGUGAGCUCGAUGAGUAGGGCGGGACACGUGGUAUCCUGUCUGAAUAUGGGGGGACCAUCCUCCAAGGCUAAAUACUCCUGACUGACCGAUAGUGAACCAGUACCGUGAGGGAAAGGCGAAAAGAACCCCGGCGAGGGGAGUGAAAAAGAACCUGAAACCGUGUACGUACAAGCAGUGGGAGCCCCACCACUAAGCCAGUGGUGAACUCCACAUACGCAUCCUUUGCUGAGGAUACGGUUAACGGAGCGAAAGCGACGUUCAACCGCAAAAGAAGCAGAGGGGGCUUAGUGGUGGGGUGACUGCGUACCUUUUGUAUAAUGGGUCAGCGACUUAUAUUCUGUAGCAAGGUUAACCGAAUAGGGGAGCCGGAGGGAAACCGAGUCUUAACCGGGCGUUAAGUUGCAGGGUAUAGACCCGAAACCCGGUGAUCUAGCCAUGGGCAGGUUGAAGGUUGGGUAACACUAACUGGAGGACCGAACCGACUAAUGUUGAAAAAUUAGCGGAUGACCUGUGGCUGGGGGUGAAAGGCCAAUCAAACCGGGAGAUAGCUGGUUCUCCCCGAAAGCUAUUUAGGUAGCGCCUCGUGAACUCAUCUCCGGGGGUAGAGCACUGUUUCGGCUAGGGGGCCAUCCCGGCUUACCAACCCGAUGCAAACUGCGAAUACCGGAGAAUGUUAUCACGGGAGACACACGGCGGGUGCUAACGUCCGUCGUGAAGAGGGAAACAACCCAGACCGCCAGCUAAGGUCCCAAAGUCAUGGUUAAGUGGGAAACGAUGUGGGAAGGCCCAGACAGCCAGGAUGUUGGCUUAGAAGCAGCCAUCAUUUAAAGAAAGCGUAAUAGCUCACUGGUCGAGUCGGCCUGCGCGGAAGAUGUAACGGGGCUAAACCAUGCACCGAAGCUGCGGCAGCGACACUCAGGUGUUGUUGGGUAGGGGAGCGUUCUGUAAGCCUGCGAAGGUGGCCUGUGAGGGUUGCUGGAGGUAUCAGAAGUGCGAAUGCUGACAUAAGUAACGAUAAAGCGGGUGAAAAGCCCGCUCGCCGGAAGACCAAGGGUUCCUGUCCAACGUUAAUCGGGGCAGGGUGAGUCGACCCCUAAGGCGAGGCCGAAAGGCGUAGUCGAUGGGAAACGGGUUAAUAUUCCCGUACUUGGUGUUACUGCGAAGGGGGGACGGAGAAGGCUAUGUUGGCCGGGCGACGGUUGUCCCGGUUUAAGCGUGUAGGCUGGUUUUCCAGGCAAAUCCGGAAAAUCAAGGCUGAGGCGUGACGACGAGGCACUACGGUGCUGAAGCAACAAAUGCCCUGCUUCCAGGAAAAGCCUCUAAGCAUCAGGUAACAUCAAAUCGUACCCCAAACCGACACAGGUGGUCAGGUAGAGAAUACCAAGGCGCUUGAGAGAACUCGGGUGAAGGAACUAGGCAAAAUGGUGCCGUAACUUCGGGAGAAGGCACGCUGACAC
rnacentral:rRNA from 1 species